rnacentral:rRNA from 1 species
GACGUAGGGCGUGAGCGUUGUCCGGAUUUAUUGGGCGUAAAGAGCUCGUAGGCGGCUUGUCGCGUCGACUGUGAAAACCCGCGGCUCAACCGUGUGGCUUGCAGUUGAUACGGGCAGGCUAGAGUUCGGUAGGGGAGACUGGAAUUCCUGGUGUAGCGGUGAAAUGCGCAGAUAUCAGGAGGAACACCGGUGGCGAAGGCGGGUCUCUGGGCCGAUACUGACGCUGAGGAGCGAAAGCGUGGGGAGCGAACAGG